rnacentral:rRNA from 1 species
CGUACAGGUCUCCGUAGGUGAACCUGCGGNNNNAUCAUUACAAGAACGCCCGGGCUUCGGCCUGGUUAUUCAUAACCCUUUGUUGUCCGACUCUGUUGCCUCCGGGGCGACCCUGCCUUCGGGCGGGGGCUCCGGGUGGACACUUCAGACUCUUGCGUAACUUUGCAGUCUGAGUAAACUUAAUUAAUAAAUUAAAACUUUUAACAACGGAUCUCUUGGUUCUGGCAUCGAUGAAGAACGCAGCGAAAUGCGAUAAGUAAUGUGAAUUGCAGAAUUCAGUGAAUCAUCGAAUCUUUGAACGCACAUUGCGCCCCCUGGUAUUCCGGGGGGCAUGCCUGUUCGAGCGUCAUUUCACCACUCAAGCCUCGCUUGGUAUUGGGCAACGCGGUCCGCCGCGUGCCUCAAAUCGUCCGGCUGGGUCUUCUGUCCCCUAAGCGUUGUGGAAACUAUUCGCUAAAGGGNGUUCGGGAGGCUACGCCGUAAAACAACCCCAUUUCUAAGGNUGACCUCGGAUCANGUAGGGAUACCCGCUGAACUUAAGCAUAUCA